rnacentral:lncRNA from 1 species
AGAGGAAAACAAUUGACUUCUACAAGAGUACAAGCAAAAUUGUUUCGUAUUUGGUUAAAGAGCUGUUAGGCAAAUCACCCCAGGAGGAUGGAGGAUGAGAAUUCUGAUCCUUAGAAGAGGAUGUCCUGCUCACUCGGUUUUACUAUAUUAUUACGCUUUUCAAAUCAAUGGGUGUCAGAUCUCUCUUCAAAAUAUUUUAGAGAAUCUCACAUAGUUAGAACUGAUAAAGAUGUUAGAAAUGAUUAAAUCUAAUUUUCACAUCUUAUAAACAAAUAACUGAAUACUGCGAUGAAUAAUGAUCUGUAAUUUGGAAAGUGUUUCUACAUCCAUAGGAAUCAGACUCAGCCUCAUGCCUGGAUGGUGAAAAGUCACAUGACCAGUAAGCCGCCAUCCACAGGGCUCCUGCAGAACAGGCACAAAACAGAAAAGGACCGUGAGAUGCUGAGACUUGGUACAGUCUAAAAGAGCUAAAAUUCCAAAAACAAAAAUGACACGAAGUAUAUACUCUGGAUCAGAGAAAAAUGAAAUAAAAAGAACGAGGUUUAUAAAAUAAGGAAGAGGAGUCUAAGCAUAGAGAAGAGAACAAUUGCUGUCAGAUUACAACACCUCAGAGUCCAAGGAGGGGGCUAAGAAGAAAAAAUACAGAGAAGAAGCCGCCACUGCUGUUUUUAUAUAGGGGUAGAAGGUAUAGAGGUUUUUCUAUUUUAUUUAUUUUUUUUUUUUUGAGACGGAGUCUCGCUGUGUCGCCCGGCUGGAGUGCAGCGGCGCGAUCGCGGCUCCCUGCAAGCUCCGCCUCCCAGGUUCAUACCAUUCUCCUGCCUCAGCCUCCUGAGUAGCUGCGACUACAGGCGCCCGCCACCACGCCCGGCCAAUUUUUUUCUAUUUUUUAGUAGAGACGGGGUUUCACCGUGUUAGCCAGGAUGGUCUCGAUCUCCUGACCUCGUGAUCCGCCCGCCUCGACCUCCCAAAGUGCUGGGAUUACAGGCGUGAGCCACCACGCCCGGCCAUAUGUUAUUAAAUGAAAAUGCCAGCUUAAAAACAAAAGUGAGGAAAGCCAAGCUGAGGUACAUCCUGCAAGUUCAACAAAAUUUAGAAACAUUUCAUCAUGUGCCUCACAUAAACCAACAGAACUUUUUUUUCUGUUACAUUGUAUAUAAAAUGAACUUUGUGUGUUUUCUUUUAAAUUCAGGCUGAAAAAAUGUCACUCAUGUUUUUAUUAGAAUGGUAACCUUUUGUAAUAAAAAUAAUGUUCUUCAUACUAAUUUAUUUAGUGAUCUAAAAGAUGAAUAAGUCUUUACAUAGUUUGAUUCUAGUGAAACAAGGACAUUUUUGGGGUAGGAUGAAUGUGAGGAGUCAAACAUUUCCUAAGACACAAUGAACUUAGUUUUAGACCAUG